rnacentral:rRNA from 1 species
GACGAACGCUGGCGGCGUGCUUAACACAUGCAAGUCGAACGGCAACGCACUGCUUUUUUGGGGUGCUCGAGUGGCGAACGGGUGCGUAACACGUAAGUAACCUGCCCUUGACUUUGGGAUAACUUCAGGUAACUGGGGCUAAUCCCGUAUCGGAGCCCCUGUUGCAUGGUGGGGGUUGGAACGUUUCGGCUGUUGGGGAUGGACUCGCGGCUUAUCAACUUGUUGGUGGGGUAGUGGCUUACCAACGGUUUGACCGGUCGCCGGCCUGGGAGGGUGACCGGCGACAUGGGGACUGAGGUAGGGCGCAGACUGCUACGGGAGGCAGCAGGGGGGAAUAUUGUACAAUGGGCGGAAGCCUGAUGAAGAAACGCCGCGGGCGGGAUGACGGCCUUCGGGUUGUGAACCGCUUUCGCCUGUGACGAAGCGGGAGUGACGGUAAUGGGUAAAGAAGCACCGGCUAACUACGUG